UACAUAUUGCGAUUCUCGAACACAAUUCGAGAGUCUUUGUAAUCGACCUGAUAUUGAGAUGUAAAACCGUUAGUCUUAGGCAUGAUUCUGACGAGAAAUGUAACAAGAAACUUUAUCCAGAAAUUGUCAAGUAGACUAGCGAUAUUUCCCACUGGAUUUAAUGAUUCCUAUUUAACGAUAUUUGCAAUGAUUUCCUGUAGGCUAAGAUUACAUAUGUCACUCCUUGCAUCUAAAUUUAUCAUGAGAAACACGCGAUUACAGCGCCACAGCGGUGAAAUAUGGAAAUACUUUCUACAAUUCCCGAAUCAUGAUCGAUAUUUCUCACGAUCGAUUUUUAAACGGGAAUCAUGGCGGAAGGGAGGAUGGGACGCCUCAUCUGUAAAGAAGAAAGUUUUAUCCAGAAGAAUUAUCCAGAAAGAAGUAUCAAAAGUUCUUAUGUAAAAUAUAAAUCAAUAAUUUUUGGAUUUGUGUUUGUAUUGUGAAUUUUUAAGAUAAAAUGUGUAUUUUUGGUUUCAACUCAAGCGCCACAACGGUGAAAUAUGGAAUAUAUUUCCUACGAGUCUUGAAUCAUGAUCGAUAUUUCUCACGAUCGAUUUUUAAACGGGAAACAUGGCGGAAGGGAGGACGCCUCAUUUGUAAAGAAGAAAGUUCUACAAUAGCAAGCAAUUGAACGAUUCAGAGGAAGAUUUCACAAGUAUAUCAUUUUUUAUAUACGUUUAGUUGUGAAAUUUUGAUUUGUGCAAGCAUUUUCGAAUAUUUAUAAUACAUGACAGGAUAUUACUAAUGUGUAUACUUCACUUUAAUAACGAACAUUCAGAAUACAAUUUCUACAAAUAUUUCUGCAAAUAUUGAAAAAUACUUUAUAAUUUCCAACUAA